rnacentral:piRNA from 1 species
UAUCAAUGUGGUGCUCGGCGUAAAGGGU